CGUAACGCGUGGGAAUCUACCUUUUAGUGGGGGAUAGCCCGGAGAAAUCCGGAUUAAUACCGCAUAAGCCCUACGGGGGAAAAGGGGCCUCUUCUUGAAAGCUCUUGCUAUUAGAUGAGCCCGCGUAAGAUUAGCUUGUUGGUGGGGUAAAAGCCUACCAAGGCAACGAUCUUUAGCUGGUCUGAGAGGAUGAUCAGCCACACUGGGACUGAGACACGGCCCAGACUCC
rnacentral:rRNA from 1 species